rnacentral:lncRNA from 1 species
UUUUCACAGCCCUACUAUUUACCACAGUCCUUUGAUUUAGAAAUGUCAUUUUUUCCUAAAGGAAAGCUGAGGUUCUUACCUCAUUGUUAACUCAUUCUUACCUUGUUGUAGAAACUAUUACUUUUUAAAAUUAAACACCACCUAUUAUAAAAUGAGGUUACUUCAUUUGAGCUCAUAACACUGUGAUCCUUUUUCAAAUAUAUGUAUGUGAAUCCUCAUCUGUAUGAGAAUCAGCACCUUUAGUGGAGCAUUGAACAUUUACUUUCAAAACCAGAGGAGUCUGGUGCACAGCAAAGAGAAGAUCCUGGUUCUGACUGAAGUAGCUGAAUUCUGUACCAGUCACUAGCUUCACAUGCAGCCCUAGCUUCCAGUCUACAUGAAUACCUAGAAGGGGUAGAUGGCAGGAGAGCAGUGAUUUUGAAGAUGUCAGUGUACCAAAAUAUUUUUCUUAGAUAACCGCAUACCUCUGAGGAUUUGGGCUCUGGUGACUACAGAUGGAAGCUUCAGGGAUCACCGAAGAAAUCAAUAAAUCAACCAAGCAACUGAAGUUUCUAUCUAAUAAGGGCCAAGCAUUACACAGUCAAAGUUACUGGUGUCAAAAGGACGGCAGGGAUGUCAAUGACAGUAUUCUCUGAAGACACUGGGAACACUAGCAGUUUGCCUCCUUGGCUGAAAUGGUAAGGCUGCCUGUUAAAAAAUAUUUUUCUACUCAUCAGCUGGUCAUGUUUGAUAUGGAGUCAUUGAGACAUAAUAAGUA